UACGAAGGGGGCUAGCGUUGCUCGGAAUCACUGGGCGUAAAGCGACCGCAGGCGGUCUGACAAGUCGGAUGUGAAAGCCCUGGGCUCAACUCAGGAAUUGCAUUCGAAACUGGCAGACUCGAGUACGGGAGAGGGGGGUGGAAUUCCUGGUGUAGGGGUGAAAUUCGUUGAUAUCAGGAGGAACACCGGCGGCGAAGGCGGCCCCCUGGCCCGCAACUGACGCUCAUGGUCGAAAGCGUGGGGAGCAAACAGG
rnacentral:rRNA from 1 species